GAGCCUGAGAAACGGCUACCACUUCUAAGGAAGGCAGCAGGCGCGUAAAUUACCCAAUCCCGAUUCGGGGAGGUAGUGACAAGAAAUAACAACUCGGGUCCUUCGGGAUUACGAGAUUGCAAUGAGAACAAUUUAGACCACUUAGCGAGGAUCCAUUGGAGGGCAAGUCUGGUGC
rnacentral:rRNA from 1 species